CCUACGGGUGGCAGCAGUAGGGAAUCUUUCACAAUGGGCGAAAGCCUGAUGGAGCAACGCCGCGUGCAGGAUGAAGGCCUUCGGGUUGUAAACUGCUUUUAUAAGCGAGAAAUAUGACGGUAACUUAUGAAUAAGCAUCGGCUAACUACGUGCCAGCAGCCGCGGUCAUACGUAGGAUCCGAGCAUUAUCCGGAGUGACUGGGUGUAAAGAGUUGCGUAGGUGGCAUAAUAAGUAGCUAGUGAAAUCUGGUGGCUCAACCAUUCAGACUAUUAGCUAAACUGUUAAGCUCGAGACCGUUAGAGGUAACUGGAAUUUCUAGUGUAGGAGUGAAAUCCGUAGAUAUUAGAAGGAACACCAAUAGCGUAGGCAGGUUGCUGGGACGGUUCUGACACUAAGGCACGAAAGCGUAGGGAGCAAACGGGAUUAGAUACCCCUGUAGUC
rnacentral:rRNA from 1 species